rnacentral:rRNA from 1 species
GAGGAAUAUUGGGCAAUGCCCGCAAGGGUGACCCAGCAACGCCGCGUGGAGGAUGAAUGUCGUAAGAUUGUAAACUCCUGUUAGAGGGGAAGAAUAGUACCGGUUGGUCCGGUAUAUGACUGUACCCUCAGAGAAAGCCCCGGCUAACUACGUGCCAGCAGCCGCGGUAAUACGUAGGGGGCAAGCGUUGUCCGGAUUUACUGGGUGUAAAGGGCGCGCAGGCGGGAUAAAAAGUCAGUGGUGAAAUCCUACAGCUUAACUGUAGAACUGCCUUUGAUACUUUUAUUCUUGAGUUCGGGAGAGAGAGACGGAAUUCCAGGUGUAGUGGUGAAAUACGUAGAUAUCUGGAAGAACACCAGUUGCGAAGGCGGUCUCUUGGUCCGACACUGACGCUGAGGCGCGAAAGCGUGGGGAGCAAACA